AAAACAAUCACUGACUUUUGCCAUGGACACCGCUGCACUAGUGUUCACUGCGUAUCAAAUAAUACAAUAAGCAUAACAUGUAAGGAAGAAUUAGUCUUUGGUGAUGCAUCAUGAAACUAUAGGCAAUAUGAUAUACAUAUUAUAUGGGGAAGAAUUAUUCAGCAACGAGAUGAUCACGCUUCAAUAAGAUAUUCAAGAAAUUUGAUCUUCACCUCUAUAAAUACCUAUUCUUCAAGUCUCAAACUUGCAAUUAGCUAGCAACAUAUAUAGAUUAGAAAUGGCCCUCUUCAAUGCUCCAAAAUUGAUGUCAUUUUCUGCUCUUCUGGCAAUAGUCUUACUACUUAUGUUUUCGAAGCUGGGUAGUGCUUCCCAACCCAAUAUCAAACUUGGGCGAAAGCUUUUCCAGCAAACCCAACCCGCUACUUAUGCAACGUACCCUGGCGGUGGAGGCUAUAAAUCCCCACCAUGAAAUUUUACUCCGAAUUGCGCUGUAGCUGAAUUGGAGAUGUUAGCAUCGCUUUUACUACUAUGAUAUCUUAGGAGUGAUAUAGCACAUGUAACUUAGGUAAAUUUUUGUUGUUUGUCUUGAUAUGAAUUAAUAAUAAUAUUGCAUCAUAUAUCACUCCAUUGAAUUUCUUC